UGCGUGAUGGCUCAGAUGGUAAAGAAUCUGCCUGUAAUGCAGGAGACCCAGGUUCGAUCCCUGGUCAAGAAG
rnacentral:tRNA from 1 species